GCAGGGCUGUGUGCACAGUGUCGGUCUGUGUCUAGUAAAGCAGCUUGUUGGCGUCCUGCUGGCUGGCUGCUGCACUCACACGAAUCCUGCGGCCCGAGAUAAUAAGGAGUUCAUAGUACUGGUCUAGUGACGUCUUCUGGACGCUCCCACCACUGGCCAGCCUCCAAAGUCUCUGACAAGG